UAAACAAUGAUAAACCUUUACACUUUUUAUCCGCCCGGGUACUACGAGCAUUAGCUUAAAACCCAAAGGACUUGGCGGUGCUUAAGAUCCACCUAGAGGAGCCUGUUCUAGAACCGAUAAUCCCCGUUAAACCUCACCCUUUCUUGUUAAUUCAGCCUAUAUACCGCCGUCGUCAGCUUACCCUGUGAAGGAAGCACAGUAAGCAAAAAUGGCACAGCCUAAAACGUCAGGUCGAGGUGUAGCAUAUGAAGGGGGAAGAAAUGGGCUACAUUCUCUAGUGUAGAGAAUACGAACAAUGUAUUGAAACAUACAUUUAAAGGAGGAUUUAGUAGUAAGAAGAAAUUAGAGUGUUCUACUGAAACUGGCCCUAAAGCGCGCACACACCGCCCGUCACUCUCCCCAAACAUAAACCACAACCUUUUAUAAAACCAUUUUAUUGUAAAGGGGAGGCAAGUCGUAACAUGGUAAGUGUACGGAAGGUGUACCUUGGUAAAAU
rnacentral:rRNA from 1 species